AGACAGCAGUAGCCGCGGGAAUACAGAGGGUGCGAGCGUUAAUCGGAUUUACUGGGCGUAAAGCGUGCGUAGGCGGCUUCUUAAGUCGGAUGUGAAAUCCCUGAGCUUAACUUAGGAAUUGCAUUCGAUACUGGGAAGCUAGAGUAUGGGAGAGGAUGGUAGAAUUCCAGGUGUAGCGGUGAAAUGCGUAGAGAUCUGGAGGAAUACCGAUGGCGAAGGCAGCCAUCUGGCCUAAUACUGACGCUGAGGUACGAAAGCAUGGGGAGCAAACAGGAUUAGAGACCCCGGUAGUCCCUGUCUCUUAUAA
rnacentral:rRNA from 1 species